UACAGAGGGGGCAAGCGUUGUUCGGAAUUACUGGGCGUAAAGGGCGCGUAGGCGGCCUUCUAAGUCGAACGUGAAAUCCCCGGGCUCAACCCGGGAACUGCGUCCGAGACUGAAAGGCUUGAAUCCGGGAGAGGGAUGUGGAAUUCCAGGUGUAGCGGUGAAAUGCGUAGAUAUCUGGAGGAACACCGGUGGCGAAGGCGGCAUCCUGGACCAACACUGACACUGAGGAGCGAAAGCCAGGGGAGCAAACGGG
rnacentral:rRNA from 1 species